GUAGAACAAGAUAGGAGGAUAACCCCAAGGUUAGCAAAGACAGAAGCUCAUUCCAUGGGCUGUUGAUAUGGAGGGUGGGAGUGAGAAGCAUGAAAAAAUGUUUUGAGAUUGUGGCAUUUGAGCUGGAACGGAAAGGGCUCCUUGGCGUUGGACCGUAGAAUCUGCAGGGAAAAACAAUGAAGAAGAAUUCCAAGUAGCUGCUCUCCACAAAAGAAGAG
rnacentral:lncRNA from 1 species